UACAAAAAGGUGCGAGCGUUAUUCAUAGUUAUUGGGCGUAAAGGGUAUGUAGGCGGAGCUUUAAAUUUGGUCAAAAAUGCUGGAGUAGUAACUUAAGCAGUGGACUUUUAGAUUUUUUUCUCUACGAGUUAAUGUCAGGUCGGAGGAACUUCCAGCGGAAAGGUAGAAUUUUACUAUUCUGGACGGAACACCUAAGGCAAAAGGCAUCCCCUCCAGAGUUAACUGACGCUGAGGUACGGAAGCGUAGGGAGCAAACAGG
rnacentral:rRNA from 1 species